GGCGUCGUAGCUCAGUCGGUAGAGCAACAGUCAUCUAAUCCGGAGGUCGUGGGUUUGAAUCCCACCGAGGUCA